UACAGAGGGGGCAAGCGUUAUUCGGAAUUAUUGGGCGUAAAGGGCGCGUAGGCGGCUUUGCAAGUGGCGGGUGAAAUCCCUCGGCUUAACCGAGGAACUGCCUGCCAGACUGUGAGGCUUGAGACCGGGAGAGGUGAGUGGAAUUCCCAGUGUAGAGGUGAAAUUCGUAGAUAUUGGGAAGAACACCGGUGGCGAAGGCGGCCAUCUGGACCGCAACUGACGCUGAGGCGCGAAAGCGUGGGGAGCAAACAGG
rnacentral:rRNA from 1 species